rnacentral:rRNA from 1 species
AUUGAACGCUGGCGGCAUGCCUAACACAUGCAAGUCGAACGGAGCGGCGGACGGGUGAGUAAUGCAUAGGAAUCUGCCUGGUAGUGGGGGAUAACGUCCGGAAACGGUAGCUAAUACCGCAUACUAUCAGAUCAGCCUAGGUCGGAUUAGCUAGUUGGUGUGGUAAAGGCCUACCAAGGCGACGAUCCGUAACUGGUCUGAGAGGAUGAUCAGUCACACUGGAACUGAGACACGGGCCAGACUCCUACGGGAGGCAGCAGUGGGGAAUAUUGGACAAUGGGCGAAAGCCUGAUCCAGCCAUGCCGCGUGUGUGAAGAAGGCCUUCGGAUUGUAAAGCACUUUAAGUUGGGAAGCGUUACCAACAGAAUAAGCACCGGCUAACUACGUGCCAGCAGCCGCGGUAAUAC